rnacentral:rRNA from 1 species
AGCGAACGCUGGCGGCAGGCCUAACACAUGCAAGUCGAACGAACCCUUCGGGGUUAGUGGCGGACGGGUGAGUAACACGUGGGAACGUGCCUUUAGGUUCGGAAUAACUCAGGGAAACUUGUGCUAAUACCGAAUGUGCCCUUCGGGGGAAAGAUUUAUCGCCUUUAGAGCGGCCCGCGUCUGAUUAGCUAGUUGGUGAGGUAAUGGCUCACCAAGGCUACGAUCAGUAGCUGGUCUGAGAGGAUGACCAGCCACAUUGGGACUGAGACACGGCCCAAACUCCUACGGGAGGCAGCAGUGGGCAAUCUUGCGCAAUGGGCGAAAGCCUGACGCAGCCAUGCCGCGUGGAUGAUGAAGGUCUUAGGAUUGUAAAAUCCUUUCACCGGUGAAGAUAAUGACUGUAGCCGGAGAAGAAGCCCCGGCUAACUUCGUGCCAGCCGCCACGGUAACAC